GACGAACGCUGGCGGCGUGCCUAAUACAUGCAAGUAGAACGCACAGUUUAUACCGUAGCUUGCUACACCAUAAACUGUGAGUUGCGAACGGGUGAGUAACGCGUAGGUAACCUGCCUGGUAGCGGGGGAUAACUAUUGGAAACGAUAGCUAAUACCGCAUAAUAUUGAUUAUUGCAUGAUAAUUGAUUGAAAGAUGCUAUUGCAUCACUACCAGAUGGACCUGCGUUGUAUUAGCUAGUUGGUGAGGUAACGGCUCACCUAGGCGACGAUACAUAGCCGACCUGAGAGGGUGAUCGGCCACACUGGGACUGAGACACGGCCCAGACUCCUACGGGAGGCAGCAGUAGGGAAUCUUCGGCAAUGGACGAAAGUCUGACCGAGCAACGCCGCGGGAGUGAAGAAGGUUUUCGGAUCGUAAAGCUCUGUUGUAAGAGAAGAACGGGUGUGAGAGUGGAAAGUUCACACUGUGACGGUAGCUUACCAGAAAGGGACGGCUAACUACGUG
rnacentral:rRNA from 1 species